rnacentral:rRNA from 1 species
GACGAACGCUGGCGGCGUGCUUAACACAUGCAAGUCGAACGGAAAGGCCCUGCUUUUGUGGGGUGCUCGAGUGGCGAACGGGUGAGUAACACGUGAGUAACCUGCCCUUGACUUUGGGAUAACUUCAGGAAACUGGGGCUAAUACCGGAUAGGAGCUCCUGCUGCAUGGUGGGGGUUGGAAAGUUUCGGCGGUUGGGGAUGGACUCGCGGCUUAUCAGCUUGUUGGUGGGGUAGUGGCUUACCAAGGCUUUGACGGGUAGCCGGCCUGAGAGGGUGACCGGCCACAUUGGGACUGAGAUACGGCCCAGACUCCUACGGGAGGCAGCAGUGGGGAAUAUUGCACAAUGGGCGGAAGCCUGAUGCAGCAACGCCGCGUGCGGGAUGACGGCCUUCGGGUUGUAAACCGCUUUCGCCUGUGACGAAGCGUGAGUGACGGUAAUGGGUAAAGAAGCACCGGCUAACUACGUGCCAGCAGCCGCGGUGAUACGUAGGGUGCGAGCGUUGUCCGGAUUUAUUGGGCGUAAGGGCUCGUAGGUGGUUGAUCGCGUCGGAAGUGUAAUCUUGGGGCUUAACCCUGAGCGUGCUUUCGAUACGGGUUGACUUGAGGAAGGUAGGGGAGAAUGGAAUUCCUGGUGGAGCGGUGGAAUGCGCAGAUAUCAGGAGGAACACCAGUGGCGAAGGCGGUUCUCUGGGCCUUUCCUGACGCUGAGGAGCGAAAGCGUGGGGAGCGAACAGGCUUAGAUACCCUGGUAGUCCACGCUGUAAACGGUGGGUACUAGGUGUGGGGUCCAUUCCACGGGUUCCGUGCCGUAGCUAACGCUUUAAGUACCCCGCCUGGGGAGUACGGCCGCAAGGCUAAAACUCAAAGGAAUUGACGGGGCCCCGCACAAGCGGCGGAGCAUGCGGAUUAAUUCGAUGCAACGCGUAGAACCUUACCUGGGUUUGACAUGGAUCGGGAGUGCUCAGAGAUGGGUGUGCCUCUUUUGGGGUCGGUUCACGGGUGGUGCAUGCCUGUCGUCAGCUCGUGUCGUGAGAUGUUGGGUUAAGUCCCGCAACGAGCGCAACCCUUGUUCACUGUUGCCAGCACGUUAUGGUGGGGACUCAGUGGAGACCGCCGGGGUCAACUCGGAGGAAGGUGGUGAUGACGUCAAGUCAUCAUGCCCCUUAUGUCCAGGGCUUCACGCAUGCUACAAUGGCUGGUACAGAGAGUGGCGAGCCUGUGAGGGUGAGCGAAUCUCGGAAAGCCGGUCUCAGUUCGGAUUGGGGUCUGCAACUCGACCUCAUGAAGUCGGAGUCGCUAGUAAUCGCAAAGCAGCAACGCUGCGGUGAAUACGUUCCCGGG